ensembl:lncRNA
UUAUUAAUUAGCAUUUAGGCCUAAUACAUUUCUGAUAUAUGUACAAUUUUAUAUGAUAGUCGGGUAAAUAUUGAAAUAAGAAGUUGAAAUUUACCAAAAAUGACGCAUUCUCCAGCUUCAUUGUGAAAAGAUCGCGAAGUGAAGUGUACACAGUGUGGUUUCUGUGGAUGGCCUGCGUUUCUUCAGCAGCAGCAGACUCCUCUGAGGAACUGGCCUGACUCAUCUGCAUCUGUGACAGGUCAUGUCCAUGAGUUGGAGUGGAUAACCCAAAGCGCCCAAACCGGCCCGCUAACACUGAAAUCCAUGUUUAAAGAUGCUGUCAGGUUUAAGAUGGAAAGGAAGCACAUGGAAAAGUUGCUACCAAGUAAUUUCAGUGCAAUAAACAUUGUUUUGAAUCACCUGCA